AUUCCAGGCCAGGAAAGGAAAAGCCGGUCUUUUCACGCCCCCCAGAUGAAUAUCAUCCAGGUCCAGUGAUUUACUGCAUUUGGCAGGGGUCCGUCUAUGAGAACAGAUGGGUUGCAACUAACUUAGCUCAGUUUCCUUUCUUGAAAAUGAAGCCAAGAUCAUUAGAAAGAGAUCAGGAAAUUCUGAAGAGCUGAGGACAUAAUUAACACACCCCAUGCCUACAAACAAGUUUUGGUGGUACAAAGAAGCCUCUGAAGACAUUAUUCCAGCAUAUACGUUAAACCUGUUACAUAUUUUUAUGAACUCGUAAAAAACAUGACUGCCAAAGGUGAAAAUUUUGUUAUGCCUCUGUACUCUAAACUGCAGUAUGACAGAUAUUUAAUUAUGUGCAGCAUGCAUGUUAUAUAUUAUGGAGAACAACUGUCAGCUCCAUAUUUAAUGAUGAGACGAGUUUCACACUUAAAGCAGGAAUUUAACCACUUUGUUACGUAUUAAAAAUGCAGCUUACCU